CGGGACACGUGGUAUCCUGUCUGAAUAUGGGGGGACCAUCCUCCAAGGCUAAAUACUCCUGACUGACCGAUAGUGAACCAGUACCGUGAGGGAAAGGCGAAAAGAACCCCGGCGAGGGGAGUGAAAAAGAACCUGAAACCGUGUACGUACAAGCAGUGGGAGCACGCUUAGGCGUGUGACUGCGUACCUUUUGUAUAAUGGGUCAGCGACUUAUAUUCUGUAGCAAGGUUAACCGAAUAGGGGAGCCGAAGGGAAACCGAGUCUUAACUGGGCGUUAAGUUGCAGGGUAUAGACCCGAAACCCGGUGAUCUAGCCAUGGGCAGGUUGAAGGUUGGGUAACACUAACUGGAGGACCGAACCGACUAAUGUUGAAAAAUUAGCGGAUGACUUGUGGCUGGGGGUGAAAGGCCAAUCAAACCGGGAGAUAGCUGGUUCUCCCCGAAAGCUAUUUAGGUAGCGCCUCGUGAAUUCAUCUCCGGGGGUAGAGCACUGUUUCGGCAAGGGGGUCAUCCCGACUUACCAACCCGAUGCAAACUGCGAAUACCGGAGAAUGUUAUCACGGGAGACACACGGCGGGUGCUAACGUCCGUCGUGAAGAGGGAAACAACCCAGACCGCCAGCUAAGGUCCCAAAGUCAUGGUUAAGUGGGAAACGAUGUGGGAAGGCCCAGACAGCCAGG
rnacentral:rRNA from 1 species